rnacentral:rRNA from 1 species
UACGUAGGUGGCAAGCGUUGUCCGGAUUUACUGGGCGUAAAGAGCGCGCAGGCGGUUAUUCAAGUCGAAUGUGAAAAGCCCCCCGGCUUUAACUGGGGGAGGGUCAUUCGAUACUGUUUAACUUGAAGGCAGGAGAGGGUAGUGGAAUUCCCGGUGUAGUGGUGAAAUGCGUAGAUAUCAGGAAGAACACCCGUGGCGAAAGCGGCUCUCUGGAACGGUACUGACGCUGAGACGCGAAAAGCGUGGGGGAGCGAACAGG